rnacentral:rRNA from 1 species
AGUAACACGUGGGUAACCUGCCCAUCAGAGGGGGAUAACAUUCGGAAACGGAUGCUAAAACCGCAUAGGUCUUCGAACCGCAUGGUUUGAAGAGGAAAAGAGGCACAAGCUUCUGCUGACGGAUGGACCCGCGGUGCGUUAGCUAGUUGGUGAGGUAACGGCUCACCAAGGCCGUGAUGCAUAGCCGACCUGAGAGGGUGAUCGGCCACAUUGGGACUGAGACACGGCCCAA